UACGGAGGGUGCUAGCGUUGUUCGGAAUUACUGGGCGUAAAGGGCGCGUAGGCGGCUUUAUAAGUCGGGGGUGAAAGCCUGUGGCUCAACCACAGAAUUGCCUUCGAUACUGUAGAGCUUGAGACCGGAAGAGGUAAGUGGAACUGCGAGUGUAGAGGUGAAAUUCGUAGAUAUUCGCAAGAACACCAGUGGCGAAGGCGGCUUACUGGUCCGGUUCUGACGCUGAGGCGCGAAAGCGUGGGGAGCAAACAGG
rnacentral:rRNA from 1 species